AGUGUCCAGUUCUGCAACGGAGAUGUUUUCUUUAGAGGUACUUGAAUCAGAAUAAUGAUCAGAACUUUUGUCAUUAUAAUCAUAGUCAACCGACACUUCGUUAUCUUCCAAAAUUAUGUAUUCGACAUGGUGUAUCAUGGUGAACAUUAUAGCGAUUGAAAAAAUGCGUAGUUUUUUAGGUAGAGUUUGUAAUAGGAGCUAUUCACAUCGCGGUUUCGCGUGUCAAUUGUUUCGAUGUCCGCCAUUUUGUGCCAUUGUUUUGGUUGUCUGUAUUGUAUUGACAGCUUCUUCAAGAAAUAGAAGAAGAAGGAGAAGAGUGAUUGUGAAAUUUUUUGCUAUGACAGCUUCCGAAUAAGUGGUAUAAAACCGCAAAAGCUUUCUUGUUAAUUGAUUAGUAUACAAGUAGUUCAAAUCUAAGCAAUACCGGAGACAUCAAAAUCACUUGCGGUCGAUGACGUGCUUGACAGAGCCACAUUUGACACGCUCGGCUGAGUCAAAAUGGGUAGCUAGUACGUUGUUCUUUUUCUGAAGCAAGGUGUACGUAUAUAUGACGACUUCUAGUGACUACGAGCGAUGCGGAACGAUUAGUCAACCGCUCUAAUGAACUAGAAAAACCACAGUAAAAUGGAGACGGCCCUGAAGAAAUGAACUUUGCCACAAGGCUGAGGGAAACAACUCAAAAAGCAUCUGAGCUGUCACGAGACCCCGAGCGUGAGUCUCAGACAGAUAUUAACUGUGACAUGAUGUACGGCAAAAUAUAUUAAAAAAACUGGAAUGACCCAAAAAAGUGAUUGUCUAUCUACGCAUUCUCCCGACUAAUUAAUUAAUCUCCGAAAAAUUAAUUGGUUCCUAGAGCUCGCUAAUUGUAAUUUAUUGUCCAGUCUGUUCAUCAUCUAUAUGCUACGCCAAUCACCAGUGAAUGAUUUACGCAAUAACUCAUAGGCCAUGGCCCAUGGCCAUGGAAAAAUGAUUUUAUGCAAGGCGAUACUUCGGAAAAACUAGCAUGUCGUUUGGUUAUACCGGGGUAAACUUAAACAUCAUAAACAAAUUAAAGUAUUUUAGAUCCACAGCGUUUGGCGCUUCCAAGAACCUAUUCUCGGCCAUAGAAAAAUUCUUACGGGUGACGAUUUAGAAAGAGGAAAGGUUCAGCUGACUGAAGAAAAUAUAUUCUUCGUCAAUGUUGAAAUUAACAUGGUUGUGGUCGAAGAAAAUAGGGUACAAAUUGACAUUGGGUCAAGUUUGACAUAUAUUUUGCAUUGUAAAUUAUAAAAAUUAAAAAAUAAAACAAUUGGGCUCACUUA